rnacentral:rRNA from 1 species
UACGAAGGGUGCAAACGUUGCUCGGAAUUAUUGGGCGUAAAGCGCACGUAGGCGGCUUAGCAAGUCGGAUGUGAAAUCCCUCGGCUCAACCAAGGAAGUGCAUCCGAAACUGCUGAGCUUGAGUACGAAAGAGGAUCGCGGAAUUCCCGGUGUAGAGGUGAAAUUCGUAGAGAUCCGGAAGAACACCGGUGGCGAAGGCGGCCUGCUGGGCAGUUGCUGACACUGAGGCGCGACAGCGUGGGGGGCAAACAGG